UUAGACAGAACCACCGAUUCAGUUUGCUCUCAUGUUUUAAGUUCACUUUUGGCAGUUUGCUUCCGUUAGAAAACUCAAGUCAAGAUGAUGGAUGAGGACCGAAAGAACAUGAUUGAGAAGUUCAUUGGACAUGACUUUGGAUGGUGGAAGAUGCAAGUCGAGGACUUGCUGAGUCAGAAAGAUCUUCUUCGGUGAGAAGAUAAAGGAUGAAGAAUGGGUUGACUUGGAUAGAAAAGCCCUAGCAAUCAUCAGGUGCAUUUUAACCAAGAACGUGGCUUUCAACAUCGUGAAAGAGACUACCGCUCAUGGGGUUAUGAGUUAUGACAACUCUAUCAAACAUGUAUGAGAAACUAUAUGUGUCUAAUAAGGCGUGGAUCCAUUGCUCUCCUCAAGCUCUCUUUUCUAAUUUCUCCUUUCGGAUCCCACAUGUUUUGUCGUAG
rnacentral:lncRNA from 1 species